AUUGAACGCUGGCGGCAGGCCUAACACAUGCAAGUCGAACGGUAACAGGAAGUAGCUUGCUACUUUGCUGACGAGUGGCGGACGGGUGAGGAAUGUCUGGGGAUCUGCCUGAUGGAGGUGGAUAACUACUGGACACGGUAGUUAAUACCGCAGAAGGUGGCAAGACCAAAGCCGGGGACUUUCGAGCCUCGCACAAUCAUAUGACCCCAGAUGGGAUUAGCUAGUAGGUAAGGUAAUGGCUUACCUAGGCGACGAUCCCUACCUGGUCUGAAAGGAUGACCAGCCACACUGGAACUGAGACACGGUCAAGACUCCUACGGGAGGCAGCAGUGGGGAAUAUUGCACAAUGGGCGCAAGCCUGAUGCAGCCAUGCCGCGUGUAUGAAGAAGGCCUUCGGGUUGUAAAGUACUUUCAGUCAGGAGGAAGGGUGUGAAAUUAAUACUUUCAUGCAUUGACGUUACUGACAGAAGAAGCACCGGCUAACUCCGUGCCAGCCGCCGUCGUAA
rnacentral:rRNA from 1 species